CUAAGCACUAAAAUCUUUGGAUUAAAACUUAAAGAGCAUGGCGGCCAUCAAAAACUUCAGGGGAACUUACCAGAUAAUAGAUAAUCCGCAAGAUAUAUUACUUAACCUAACGUUUGUAUACCGCCGUUUUCAGGUCCCGCUUAGGGUGGUGCCGAAAAGCUUUAAGCAAAAAGACAGGUCAUGGUGCAGCCUAUGGUUAAGACAUAAGGUGAGUUACAAUAAAAACUUUGUUCAAAUUGAGAACUAAACUAUUUCAUGAAGCUGGACUUGAAAGUAACUCUUACGAACGAAAUAUAGAUUGAAUUUACUUUUUGUGGUGC
rnacentral:rRNA from 1 species